UUAGGUUUCAAUCAAACUAUAAAUAAAAUUCCCUAUUUUCCCAACGUUUCCGUUGUUUUCACUUCACCGUUCGAGUUUCGUCCGACUGUCGUGAUCAUCUCCACCGGUAUCAUUGGGACCGUCUGAUUAAAACCCAACUAGCUGAUCUUCAGAAAUCCUCGUCGUUCGUCGCUAAUCAAUGACCGAAGCUUCGUCGUGGAGAAAACAAGCCACUGUAGGUUUUAUCAAUCUCACAUCAAUUUCGAGGUCUGGUAACCACACCGCCUUCGUUUCCAUGCUAUUCGCACUCUCCGACCAAAAUCCCAGUGGCAUCACCACCUCAUCAUUGUCCAUUUUGUAUAUGCCGUUGGGAUAUUGAAUGAAGGCCAGUUUCGGACGAUUCGACGUUAUAUGAUAUCGACCAAGAGUGAUAAGGAUUUUGCUGGGACUGAGUAAGGCAAAGGUUCAAAGAAGCCAGGUGAACAAAGCUAGGUCCAGGACAGGACAAC